GGAGUCUAACAUGUGCGCGAGUCACUGGGAUUCAUAUUAAACCCAGAGGCGCAGUGAAAGCGUGGGGCGCGCCCGGUACGCCGGGCCGCYGCUAAGGGAGGACGGCCGGUCGUUCCUCUCACGGGGUGCGGCCGGCAAGCACUCCCGGGGCGCCUCGGUCCAGGCCGAAGGCGCACCCGGAGCGCACACGUUGGGACCCGAAAGAUGGUGAACUAUGCCCGGCCAGGACGAAGUCAGGGGAAACCCUGAUGGAGGUCCGCAGCGAUUCUGACGUGCAAAUCGAUCGUCAGAGCUGGGUAUAGGGGCGAAAGACUAAUCGAACCAUCUAGUAGCUGGUUCCCUCCGAAGUUUCCCUCAGGAUAGCUGGCGCCGAGUUGGAAUGGGACCAGUCUCAUCCGGUAAAGCGAAUGAUUAGAGGCCUUGGGGCCGAAACGACCUCAACCUAUUCUCAAACUUUAAAUGGGUGAGAUCUCCGGCUUGCUUGAGCGAAGCCGCGAGAUAAGAGAGGGUGGGGGGGGCUUGCUCUCCCCCUCUCUCCCACUCGGAUGAUGGUGCCAAGUGGGCCAAUUUUG
rnacentral:rRNA from 1 species